AGAGUUUGAUCAUGGCUCAGAUUGAACGCUGGCGGCAGGCCUAACACAUGCAAGUCGAACGGUAACAGGAAGCAGCUUGCUGCUUUGCUGACGAGUGGCGGACGGGUGAGUAAUGUCUGGGAAACUGCCUGAUGGAGGGGGAUAACUACUGGAAACGGUGGCUAAUACCGCAUAACGUCGCAAGACCAAAGAGGGGGACCUUCGGGCCUCUUGCCAUCAGAUGUGCCCAGAUGGGAUUAGCUGGUUGGUGAGGUAACGGCUCACCAAGGCGACGAUCCCUAGCUGGUCUGAGAGGAUGACCAGCCACACUGGAACUGAGACACGGUCCAGACUCCUACGGGAGGCAGCAGUGGGGAAUAUUGCACAAUGGGCGCAAGCCUGAUGCAGCCAUGCCGCGUGUAUGAAGAAGGCCUUCGGGUUGUAAAGUACUUUCAGCGGGGAGGAAGGUGUUGUGGUUAAUAACCGCAGCAAUUGACGUUACCCGCAGAAGAAGCACCGGCUAACUCCGUGCCAGCAGCCGCGGUAAUACGGAGGGUGCAAGCGUUAAUCGGAAUUACUGGGCGUAAAGCGCACGCAGGCGGUCUGUCAAGUCGGAUGUGAAAUCCCCGGGCUCAACCUGGGAACUGCAUUCGAAACUGGCAGGCUUGAGUCUUGUAGAGGGGGGUAGAAUUCCAGGUGUAGCGGUGAAAUGCGUAGAGAUCUGGAGGAAUACCGGUGGCGAAGGCGGCCCCCUGGACAAAGACUGACGCUCAGGUGCGAAAGCGUGGGGAGCAAACAGGAUUAGAUACCCUGGUAGUCCACGCCGUAAACGAUGUCUACUUGGAGGUUGUGCCCUUGAGGCGUGGCUUCCGGAGCUAACGCGUUAAGUAGACCGCCUGGGGAGUACGGCCGCAAGGUUAAAACUCAAAUGAAUUGACGGGGGCCCGCACAAGCGGUGGAGCAUGUGGUUUAAUUCGAUGCAACGCGAAGAACCUUACCUGGUCUUGACAUCCACAGAACUUUCCAGAGAUGGACUGGUGCCUUCGGGAACUGUGAGACAGGUGCUGCAUGGCUGUCGUCAGCUCGUGUUGUGAAAUGUUGGGUUAAGUCCCGCAACGAGCGCAACCCUUAUCCUUUGUUGCCAGCGGUCCGGCCGGGAACUCAAAGGAGACUGCCAGUGAUAAACUGGAGGAAGGUGGGGAUGACGUCAAGUCAUCAUGGCCCUUACGACCAGGGCUACACACGUGCUACAAUGGCGCAUACAAAGAGAAGCGACCUCGCGAGAGCAAGCGGACCUCAUAAAGUGCGUCGUAGUCCGGAUUGGAGUCUGCAACUCGACUCCAUGAAGUCGGAAUCGCUAGUAAUCGUGGAUCAGAAUGCCACGGUGAAUACGUUCCCGGGCCUUGUACACACCGCCCGUCACACCAUGGGAGUGGGUUGCAAAAGAAGUAGGUAGCUUAACCUUCGGGAGGGCGCUUACCACUUUGUGAUUCAUGACUGGGGUGAAGUCGUAACAAGGUAACCGUAGGGGAACCUGCGGUUG
rnacentral:rRNA from 1 species